rnacentral:rRNA from 1 species
UACAGAGGUCCCGAGCGUUGUUCGGAUUUAUUGGGCGUAAAGGGUGCGUAGGUGGCAAAGUAAGUUGGAUGUGAAAUCCUGGGGCUCAACCUCAGAAUUGCAUUCAAUACUGCUUAGCUAGAGAGCUGUAGAGGAGACUGGAAUUUACGGUGUAGCAGUGAAAUGCGUAGAUAUCGUAAGGAACGCCAGUGGCGAAAGCGGAUCUCUGGGCCUUACCUGACGCUGAGGCGCGAAAGCUAGGGGAGCGAACAGG